rnacentral:rRNA from 1 species
CCUACGGGAGGCAGCAGUGGGGAAUCUUGGACAAUGGGCGAAAGCCUGAUCCAGCGACGCCGCGUGGGGGAUGAAGGCCCUCGGGUUGUAAACCCCUUUCGGCAGGGACGAAGCGAAAGUGACGGUACCUGCAGAAGAAGCCCCGGCCAACUACGUGCCAGCAGCCGCGGUAAGACGUAGGGGGCGAGCGUUACCCGGAUUUACUGGGCGUAAAGCGCGCGCAGGCGGCCGCGUAAGUCGGAUGUGAAAUCCCUCGGCUCAACCGAGGAAUUGCACCCGAUACUGUGCGGCUAGAGGCAGGUAGGGGCGAGUGGAAUUCCCGGUGUAGCGGUGAAAUGCGCAGAUAUCGGGAGGAAUACCGGUGGCGAAGGCGGCUCGCUGGGCCUGUCCUGACGCUCAGGCGCGAAAGCUGGGGGAGCGAACGGGAUUAGAUACCCUUG